rnacentral:rRNA from 1 species
AAUGGGGGAAACCCUGAUCCAGCGACGCCGCGUGGGUGAAGAAGGCCUGCGGGUUGUAAAGCCCUUUCGGUGGGGAAGAAAAGCCUCGACCUAACACGUCGGGGUAUUGACGUAACCCACAAAAGAAGCACCGGCUAACUCUGUGCCAGCAGCCGCGGUAAUACAGAGGGUGCGAGCGUUAAUCGGAAUUACUGGGCGUAAAGCGCGCGUAGGCGGCUAUACAAGUCGAGUGUGAAAUCCCCGGGCUCAACCUGGGAACUGCAUUCGAGACUGUAUGGCUUGAGUAUGGGAGAGGGAGGCGGAAUUUCAGGUGUAGCGGUGAAAUGCGUAGAUAUCUGAAGGAACAUCAGUGGCGAAAGCGGCCUCCUGGACCAAUACUGACGCUCAUGUGCGAAAGCGUGGGGAGCAAA